ACGGGUGAGUAACGCGUGGGAACGUGCCCUUCGGUUCGGAAUAACUCAGGGAAACUUGAGCUAAUACCGGAUACGUGCGAGAGCAGAAAGGUUUACUGCCGAAGGAUCGGCCCGCGUCUGAUUAGCUAGUUGGUGAGGUUAUGGCUCACCAAGGCGACGAUCAGUAGCUGGUCUGAGAGGAUGAUCAGCCACACUGGGACUGAGACACGGCCCAGACUCCUACGGGAGGCAGCAGUGGGGAAUAUUGGACAAUGGGGGCAACCCUGAUCCAGCCAUGCCGCGUGAGUGAUGACGGCCUUAGGGUUGUAAAGCUCUUUUCUUCGGGACGAUAAUGACGGUACCGGAGGAAUAAGCCCCGGCUAACUUCGUGCCAGCAGCCGCGGUAAUACGAAGGGGGCUAGCGUUGCUCGGAAUCACUGGGCGUAAAGGGCGCGUAGGCGGCUGAUUUAGUCGAGGGUGAAAGCCCGUGGCUCAACCACGGAAUGGCCUUCGAUACUGAUUGGCUUGAGACCGGAAGAGGACAGCGGAACUGCGAGUGUAGAGGUGAAAUUCGUAGA
rnacentral:rRNA from 1 species